ACCAGACUCCUACGGGAGGCAGCAGUGGGGGAUAUUGCACAAUGGGGGGAACCCUGAUGCAGCGACGCCGCGUGGGUGAAGGAGUGCUUCGGCGCGUAAAGCCCUAUCGGCAGGGAAGAAGGAGGACGGUACCUGACUAAGAAGCCCCGGCUAACUACGUGCCAGCAGCCGCGGUAAUACGUAGGGGGCAAGCGUUAUCCGGAUUUACUGGGUGUAAAGGGGGCGCAGACGGCAGCGCAAGCCAGGAGUGAAAGUCCAUGGCUUAACCAUGGUACUGCUCUGGAAACUGUGGAGCUUGAGUACUGGAGAGGCAGACGGAAUUCCUAGUGUAGCGGUGAAAUGCGUAGAUAUUAGGAGGAACACCAGUGGCGAAGGCGGUCUGCUGGACAGCAACUGACGGUGAGGCGCGAAAGCGUGGGGAGCAAACAGGAUUAGAUACCCCUGUA
rnacentral:rRNA from 1 species